UGGUCAAUGGACGCAAGUCUGAACCAGCCAUGCCGCGUGAAGGAUGAAGGUCCUCUGGAUUGUAAACUUCUUUUAUCUGGGACGAAAACGGGAUUUUUAUCUCAAUUGACGGUACCAGAGGAAUAAGCACCGGCUAACUCCGUGCCAGCAGCCGCGGUAAUACGGAGGGUGCAAGCGUUAUCCGGAUUUACUGGGUUUAAAGGGUGCGUAGGUGGGCUUAUAAGUCAGUGGUGAAAUCUCCGAGCUUAACUUGGAAACUGCCGUUGAUACUAUAGGUCUUGAAUUAUCUGGAGGUAAGCGGAAUAUGUCAUGUAGCGGUGAAAUGCUUAGAUAUGACAUAGAACACCAAUUGCGAAGGCAGCUUACUACAUAUAAAUUGACGCUGAGGCACGAAAGCGUGGGGAUCAAACA
rnacentral:rRNA from 1 species